rnacentral:tRNA from 1 species
GCGCCUGUAGCUCAGGGGAUAGAGCAGCUGACUUCUAAUCAGCUGGCCGCAGGUUCGAUUCCUGCCAGGCGCGCCA